UGGAGGUGAUGUAAGUUGCAACCUCCUGACUGAAAUCAUGGAGGCAAAAACUGAUUUAAUGAGGCUGAUCC